CUUCUCCACUCAUUGUAGAAAAGCUACUCUUUUUUUUCUUUGGUAAUUAAAAAGUACUUGAUGGAAAGUAUAAUGAAACCACAUAAAUACCUCAUUCCUCAUCACAAUUUCAAUUUAUUCAUUUAUUCAUUUAUGUCAUAUGGACUCAUGCUUUCUUAUUUUAUUAAAUGAUUCAUAAUCCAUUAUUUUUAUUAUUUAUUUUGGUGUUUAAAUUGUCCUCAACUUUAACCAUGAAAGCCUCUUCAAGCUAGCUAUUGUAUUGUCUUGAAAUGUCCCCAGCAUUCUUUGAGUAUUUUCUUACUUUAUGGUAUGAAAAGAUGUUCCAGACUCAUUUUGCUCUUUCCUUGUAGCACCUCAGGGAAAUCUUCCUCACCCUUUCCACACCAAUAACAGAGAAGAGAGAACACAUAUUCUUCCCAAGCACACAUGGAGCCUAUGUCACAUUUUAGUCCAUAAAGGAGGGCCUAACAAAUUUUGAAGAGUGUCAUACAGACCACAUUCCUCACCAUAAUCAAAUAUGUCAGGAUCAAUAACAAAAAGAUGAUUAAAAUAACCUUAUGUAUUUGGGGGGAGGCACAUGGAUAAAAAAAGAAACCACAAUGAAAAUUUAAAAUACUUAUGACUGGAAAACAAUGGAAAAAUUAAAAUGGAACUGAGAUAAAGUAAUGUCUCAUAAAUGUCCAUAUAAGAACAAAAGAAGGGCUGAUAAUUAAGAACUUGGAAUAAGAACAGCAGAAUAAACACAAAGAAGGUAGAAUAAAGAAAAUGUUAAAGUAGGAGCAAGCAGAUAUUGAUAAAAAUAUUGUUAUAAAAACUAAAAUUGCACUCUCAUAUUUAAUAACACCCAAAAAUAUGAGUUUUACCUUUGCUCACCAGGAUUUUGAUGGCAAUAAAAUUGUUUUUAGAAGGUAACUAGGUGGUAGGAGAGCAAAUUCUAAGUUAUUGUGCAUCUGCUAUUAUUUUUAGGUCAUUCAUGUCUGAAAGUUCAACGAUUUAUCUCAAAGGAGCUUCUGAUGCAGAAACUUCAGGAGACCCUGUUGGACCGACUCUGUGGUGCCACAGUAACAAGAUGCACAAAAUUCCUUCCACACCAGAAUCUUUAACAGCGUCCUCAGAUUUGCCUAGUUCCUAGCCCUGGCCACUGUUAAGUAAACAGAAUUGAAGGACCCUCCACAAUUGCUCAGGUCAUUUACUGUGAAAGCUCUAUGGAGGUUCUGAAACUUCUCUAAACAUGUCCCUGACACAGGUUUGGACACAGCUAAGGAGCCUGUGGUCAUACUCGUGACAGGUCUGCUUAAGACAUUUUCCAGAGUGCGUUUUCUUGACUCAUUGCAGCAGGAUGCUAACCAGCCUCCCCACCGCCAAUUCCCACAGCUUCAAUUCAUCCUGGAUUCAACUGACAGACUAAUCUGCCUCGAACAUCGAUCUUAUUACAACCAUCACCUGCUCAAGUCUCGACUGAACCUCCCUAUUGCUGCCUACAUAUCCCCCCUUUCAGCCUAGCAUUCAAGGCCCUGGUCCAUCACGCUGUCCCUGAUGGAAAUCUCCAGACUUAUCUCAAAUUUCUCUGCGACAUGGCCCCUCUGCUCCAGAUAAAUCAGUCUGUCUGUACUUCAGGGCUUCCAUUUGUGUUUCACCUGCCAGAGUCAUCCCUGAAUUUCCCCUCAAUCGAAUCAUACCUUUUCAUCUAUGUCCCCCUUAUCAUGUGC
ensembl:lncRNA